rnacentral:rRNA from 1 species
UACGAAGGGGGCUAGCGUUGUUCGGAAUCACUGGGCGUAAAGCGCACGUAGGCGGAUCCUUAAGUCAGGGGUGAAAUCCCGAGGCUCAACCUCGGAACUGCCUUUGAUACUGGGGAUCUUGAGUCCGGGAGAGGUGAGUGGAAUUGCGAGUGUAGAGGUGAAAUUCGUAGAUAUCCGCAAGAACACCAGUGGCGAAGGCGGCUCACUGGCCCGGUACUGACGCUGAGGUGCGAAAGCGUGGGGAGCAAACAGG